GAUGAACGCUGGCGGCGUGCCUAAUACAUGCAAGUCGAGCGAACAGACGAGGAGCUUGCUCCUCUGACGUUAGCGGCGGACGGGUGAGUAACACGUGGAUAACCUACCUAUAAGACUGGGAUAACUUCGGGAAACCGGAGCUAAUACCGGAUAAUAUAUUGAACCGCAUGGUUCAAUAGUGAAAGACGGUUUUGCUGUCACUUAUAGAUGGAUCCGCGCCGCAGUAGCUAGUUGGUAAGGUAACGGCUUACCAAGGCGACGAUGCGUAGCCGACCUGAGAGGGUGAUCGGCCACACUGGAACUGGGCCACGGUCCAGGCUCCUACGGGAGGCAGCAGUAGGGAAUCUUCCGCAAUGGGCGAAAGCCUGACGGAGCAACGCCGCGUGAGUGAUGAAGGUCUUCGGAUCGUAAAACUCUGUUAUUAGGGAAGAACAAAUGUGUAAGUAACUAUGCACGUCUUGACGGUACCUAAUCAGAAAGCCACGGCUAACUACGUG
rnacentral:rRNA from 1 species